rnacentral:rRNA from 1 species
UGACCCGUCUUGAAACACGGACCAAGGAGUCUAACAUGUGCGCUAGUCAUUGGGUCUUGUUUAGGCCCAAAGGCGGAAUGAAAGUGAAGGCCGAUUCGGUCGGCUGCGUUGGGAUCCCGUCCCCUUGUGGGGCGGGCGCACCAACGGCCCGUCCCGAUCGCCGCGUCGAUGGGGCGGAGUGAGAGCGUACACGUUGGGACCCGAAAGAUGGUGAACUAUGCCUGGGCAGGACGAAGCCAGAGGAAACUCUGGUGGAGGUCCGCAGCGAUUCUGACGUGCAAAUCGAUCGUCAGACCUGGGUAUAGGGGCGAAAGACUAAUCGAACCAUCUAGUAGCUGGUUCCUUCCGAA